rnacentral:tRNA from 1 species
AGGAAAAUACUUUAACUGGCAAAACAUUAAGCUUCAACCUUAAAGUACUUGGUUCAAAUCCGAGUUUUCCUG